CAUCUUAAUUAAAAAAUUAUAAGCUAUACUUUUGCCAAGGAUUCAGAUGAAACAUCAAAAGGGUAGAAAAGGGUGUCUUUCUUUCAGUUAAAGGACAGGCCCAAGAUUGGGGGAUAAGAGUGGAAAAUCAGGUAGGUGAGAAUCCAGAGACAGACCAAAACUGAAGCUCAUCCCUAGUGAGGGGACCUUUCCCAUUUUGGAGACAGAUUGUGCUGUACUGAUGACCAUGUGCAUAAACAAGCCUCUUCUCUCCACUCUUCAACCUUGUCUUUAAAAACAGGCCUGUCCCAGCAUGUGGGGAAAACAUACAAAGCAUGUUGAACUCAGAUAUGAAUCUGAAUGCUGUGGAAAACAGCCAAAAAAGUGGCAUCUUCUCCACCACUGACGAUCCUUUGCAUCCCUCUCCUCCUUGCAGGUAAAUGAGAGCUGGAACUCAGCCUUGGCUCACAGCAGAAAACAAUUCUAACCCAGGGCGCAUCCACAUUCGUGGGGAAAUGUUCAAGUGCUUGAUCAUAGAUGCAGGAAAAAAAAGUCUGAUUUGUUGGCAUCAGACCUAGUCUUUAGAUGGGAAAACUAAUAAACAUCAACCUUGAAGACAAGAGACAAACAUUUCUUCUCCAGAAAUAUACUGACAGUGACCUUAUAGUCUUCAAACAUUUGGGCCUUUAAAAUAAACAGACUUUUGUAAAAUAUCUAAUUAACAGCUAAAAGUUGUAAGUGAAGGCUGGAAUAUUGAGAAGAUAAAUAAUUGGAUUUCAUUUAUCUUCAAUGCUCUAAAUUUUUGCUUCUUCCACCUUUGCCUAUAGGAUGAACACAUCCUGAGAAUGCAGGCCCAGGCAGAACCAGGGACAACACAACUAGCAGACGAAGUUGAAUAAUGACUCUCACCCAGACCUCCCUUCACUUUGGUGCCCAGAAUUUGGUCUUGUAAAAGAUUCAGACAUCCAUGCUUCUCUAAUUAGAAUAGGCUUUACUUCUAUAGAUAAGCACAGGUAAACCAGGAGAUUAGAAUCUAUACAAUAUACCUAGAACAUCUUUUUAGAGCAAGUUUCACUUGAAGAUUUAGGGGAAGGGGUGUUAAGAAAUGUUCUUUCACUUUAAGAGCAAGUCCAGUGUUUUUAAUAUUGAAGUAUGGAUGACUUACAGGACUAUGCCUAAUUUGCAGGAAAUUUGAAUAUAAAACACAAGACUUUUUGGUAUUUUACUUUAUGAUGGGCUUUUGGGGUCCUCAUCUGUAAUCUUUCUGCAAUACCAGCACAACCUUUCCAUUUCAGUCGAGAAGUCUGGUCCACGAUGUCCUAGGUAGACCGUGAAGCUCUGAAGAACAUGUGCCUUGCACUUGCUCCUGGUUCAAUUUGUCCAUUGCUCAUCAUAAAUCUCAGAGACACCGGAGAGAACCAAGCAUCACCAACAGUGACUGAUAUGGUUUGGCUGUGUCCCCACCCAAAUCUCAUCUUGAAUUGUAAUCCCCAUAAUCCCCCCGAGUCGUGGGAGAGACCUGCUGGGAGGUAAUUGAAUCAUGGGGGUGGUUUCCCCUAUGCUGUUCUCGUGAUAGUGACAGAGUUCUCACAAGACCUGAUGGUUUUAUAAGCGUCUGGCAUUUCCCCUGCUGGCACUCUUUCUCUCCUGCUGCUCUGUGAAGAGGUGCCUCCUAUCAUGAUUGUAAGUUUCCUGAGGCCUCUCUACUCAGGCAUAACUGUGUCAAUUAACCUCUUUUCUUUAUAAAUUACCAGACUUGGGUAUUUCUUCAUAGCAGCAUGAGAACAUAUGAAUACAAUGACCAGUUAUGGAUGAGAAGUGCCCAACUGCACAAUCUUAUCGAUUUCAUACCACCAGGUCUCACAGAAAUGGUACGGAGAUGUCUCAAGCAAGAUCAAAUCAGAAAAAUCAUGACUCCAUGAGGAGCCAGGCACAGUGACUCCCACCUGCAAUCCCAGCUACUCAGGAGGCUGAGGCAGGAGAAUCACUUGAUCCCUAGGAUUUGAAGCUGCAGUGAGUUAGCUCUGUAAACAUAUGUCGAAAAUUAAUUCUAUAUGCUACUUCCCCAAACAUUAUUUUCUAAUUAUCUUCCCAAAUGGCUAGUUAGAUGAAAAUCAGUUGUCUCUUGUACCAUUCAGGAUGGAAGCAAGGCUUGAGGACACAUGAUGGGGUUGGAAUUUAUUAUCUCCAAGGUCCUUUCAGCUCUAAUUCCAAGAAAGUGCGACACAACCUGUCCACAACACUCUUGAAGAUGCUCAGCCCGGCCAUGCCUGCCAGUGUCCAGAGACACUGAGAGGGCCUGGGUGCCAGGCUGCCAUGUAGGGCCGGGGAGGAGCCUACACAGGACGGUGCAUCGGCAAGGAAUGAGAAGUCAGAAAACUCUCCAAAGACACCUCAAAGGAUUCUGGUCGGCCAACCAAGCACCAAGUGGUUUGUUUAUGGGGCAGGAGAAUACGUAUAAGUGGAUGAGGCGGGGCCUUGGGAGAAAUCCACUCUGAAGUGAGCCCAGAUUAUAGACCAUCUGGAAGAGCAGC
rnacentral:lncRNA from 10 species